rnacentral:rRNA from 1 species
GAUGAACGCUGGCGGCGUGCCUAAUACAUGCAAGUCGAGCGAAUGGAUUAAGAGCUUGCUCUUAUGAAGUUAGCGGCGGACGGGUGAGUAACACGUGGGUAACCUGCCCAUAAGACUGGGAUAACUCCGGGAAACCGGGGCUAAUACCGGAUAACAUUUUGAACCGCAUGGUUCGAAAUUGAAAGGCGGCUUCGGCUGUCACUUAUGGAUGGACCCGCGUCGCAUUAGCUAGUUGGUGAGGUAACGGCUCACCAAGGCAACGAUGCGUAGCCGACCUGAGAGGGUGAUCGGCCACACUGGGACUGAGACACGGCCCAGACUCCUACGGGAGGCAGCAGUGGGGAAUCUUCCGCAACGGACGAAAGUCUGACGGAGCAACGCCGCGUGAGUGAUGAAGGCUUUCGGGUCGUAAAACUCUGUUGUUAGGGAAGAACAAGUGCUAGUUGAAUAAGCUGGCACCUUGACGGUACCUAACCAGAAAGCCACGGCUAACUACGUGCCAGCAGCCGCGGUAA